rnacentral:sRNA from 1 species
GGCGGCGGCGGCAGCCGGAGCGAGCAGUAGCCGAGCUGUAAUGUCUUACAAUAACAGAAUGCAGGAGAGCACAUAUCAAUGAAGAAAAGACAAAAUGUAUUUAUCCAUGAAGCUGAGGUUAAGAAACCAGUGUCUUCAAGAGCCGGGGACAGCACUGGGUCUGUGCAGAGUUGAGAGAUGGUGAUGACAUGGUGAGACACAAACUCAAUCUAUUUCAUAGUUUGUCUGUGGCCAUUCCUAUUAAUAAACUUCCUUUCACAACUGUUUCAAUAUUCACACAAAAAUGUUAACCCAAUCUGCAGUUAUACCCCUUGAAUGUAAAAUAAAAAACAAAAGCCAAUAAUAAAAAACAAAAGCCAAAAAUAAAAAACCCAAUCUGCAGUUAUACCCCUUGAAUGUAAAAUAAAAAACAAAAGCCCACAAAAAUAUGAAUCCACACUUAAAAGGUGGAUUUAUUUAGCACAGUACGGAGUUUCUUAGACUUCUCUAUCACUGUCUCUAACAAUGACAUACUCACCUAACCCCACCAAGAGCAAUUUUAUUUCGUCUCUAGUUUUCAUCUAAAGAUUCAUGUGGAUUUUAGAUUCUACUCUUUUGUAGGUUCAUAUUUGUACUAUUAUAAAAUGUGACUCUCUCUCCAAACUUUGCCUAAAUUAUGGAAUGAUUUUUCAUGUUUAUCCAGUGGUUUCCAGCAUUUCUGGCCCAGUCUGGGAUUCUACUCCUUUGUAGGUUCAUAAUUGUACUAUUAUAAAAUGUGACUCUCUCUCCAAACUUUGCCUAAAUUACGGAAUGAUUUUUCAUGUUUAUGCAGUGGUUUCCAGCAUUCCUGGCCCAGUCCAGGGACACUGUGGGUGUGCCCAGCUUAAGUCCAGUAACUGGAAAUACAAGCCCAAGUUCUGGAGAGUUUGAGCUGCAG